rnacentral:rRNA from 1 species
CGGACGGGUGAGUAACGCGUGGGUAACCUGCCUCAUACAGGGGGAUAGCAGCUGGAAACGGCUGGUAAUACCGCAUAAGCGCACAGUACCACAUGGUACAGUGUGAAAAACUCCGGUGGUAUGAGAUGGACCCGCGUCUGAUUAGCUAGUUGGUGGGGUAACGGCCUACCAAGGCGACGAUCAGUAGCCGACCUGAGAGGGUGACCGGCCACAUUGGGACUGAGACACGGCCCAA